GCGCCAGACUCCUACGGGAGGCAGCAGUGGGGAAUAUUGCACAAUGGGGGAAACCCUGAUGCAGCGACGCCGCGUGAAGGAAGAAGUAUUUCGGUAUGUAAACUUCUAUCAGCAGGGAAGAAAAUGACGGUACCUGACUAAGAAGCCCCGGCUAACUACGUGCCAGCAGCCGCGGUAAUACGUAGGGGGCAAGCGUUAUCCGGAUUUACUGGGUGUAAAGGGAGCGUAGGCGGCGAUGCAAGUCAGAAGUGAAAGCCCGGGGCUCAACGCCGGGACUGCUCUGGAAACUGCGGCGCUGGAGUACGGGAGGGGCAGGCGGAAUUCCUGGUGUAGCGGUGAAAUGCGUAGAUAUCAGGAGGAACACCGGCGGCGAAGGCGGCCUGCUGGACCGUGACUGACGUUGAGGCUCGAGAGCGUGGGGAGCAAACAGGAUUAGAUACCCGCGUAG
rnacentral:rRNA from 1 species